rnacentral:lncRNA from 10 species
GCCACAGUGCCUGGCCGGAAAUUUUUUUGACAUAGAAAAAACAUGAAAUGUGAUCAGCUUACUAGGUGCCACUUUCUUUGCAAGUUGAAAGCUAUGUAAUAUUGGACACUGAAUCUUUAUAAAAUAUAAUAUUGAGAUAUCUGAUCUCUGAUUUUCUUUCCAGGCCCAUAACGAGACAGUCAAGCCAUUAGUCACUGCCAGAAAUCUGCACACAUUCCCACAUUCAGCCACUUGACCUACUAUACAAAAUGAAUGGUUAGUGAUAUAAUUUGACUGUGUCCCCACACAAAUCUCAUCUUGAAUUGUAGCUCCCAUAAUUCCUACAUGUUGUGGGAGAGACCCAGUGGUAGGUAAUUGAUUCAUGGAGGCAGGUCUUUCUCAUGAUAGUGAAUAAAUAUCUGAUAAAUAAUAGUGUAAAAUAGAGAUAUUUUCAUCUCAUAUUUCAGGGUCCCAAAUUCCUUCUAAGACCCUCACCUCGCAUAAUAGAUCUUCUUUAAGGGCUGAGCAUUUAAAGGUCUGCAAAGCUCUGCAGACUUCAGUUAGCUGCUCUGCUUUAUUUGCUCUUCCAUUGCAAGAAAUGAAAUUUUCUUUUUAGAAUUAAUAAGUGAGGAUUCCCUUUUCCUUGAGUUUUUUUGAACAGCUUCAGUAUUACUGGUACUAGUUCUUCCAGGAUACAAAAUCAAUGAACAAAAAUCAGUUGCAUUUCUAUACACCAGUAAUGACCAAGCUGAAAACCAAAUCAAGAACUAAAUACCACUUCCAACAGCUACCCAAAAAAGUGCGUAGGAGGCUGGGUGCGGUGGCUCACGUCUGUAAUCCCAGCACUUUGGGAAGCCGAGGUGGGUGGACCUGAGGUCAGGAGUUUGAGACCAGCUUGACAAACAUGGUGAAACCUUGUCUCUACUGAACAUUCAAAAAUUAGCCAGGCAUGGUGGUGCACACCUGUAGUCACAGCUACUCAGGAGGCUGAGGCAGAAGAAUCGCUUGAACCCAGGAGGCAGAGGUUGCAGUGAGCCAAGAUUGCGCCACUACACUCCAGCCUGGGCGACAGAGUGAGACUCCAUGUCAAAAAAAAAAAAAAAAACGUGCCUAGGAAUACAUUUAAGAAGAUGAAAGAUCUCUAUAUGAAUAACUACAAAACACUGAUAAAAGAAAAUAUAGAUGAUACAAAAAAAAUGGAAGAACAUCCCAUGCUCAUGGAUUAGGAAAAUCAAUGUUAUUAAAACAACAUGACUCCCCCAAAUAAUCUAGAGUUUCAAUGCAAUUCCUAUCAAAAUGCCAACUUCACUUCUCACAGAAUUAGAAAAAAAAAAUCCUAAAAUUCCUGUGGAAUCAAAAAAGAACCCAAAUAGCCAAAGCAAUCCUAGGCAAAAGAAAAAAGCUAGAGGCAUCACAUUACCAGACUUCAAAUUAUACUACAAGGAUAUAGUAACCAAAAUAUUAUGGUACUGGUAUAAAACUGGACAGCUAGAUCAAUGGAAUAGAAUAGAGAACCUAGAAAUAAAGCCACAUACUUAAAACCAACUGGUCUUCAACAGAGUAGAGAAAAACAUACGCUGGAGAAAGACACUCUAU